rnacentral:rRNA from 1 species
AUUGAACGCUGGCGGCAGGCCUAACACAUGCAAGUCGAACGAGUGGCGGACGGGUGAGUAAUGUCUGGGAAACUGCCUGAUGGAGGGGGAUAACUACUGGAAACGGUAGCUAAUACCGCAUACCAUCGGAUGUGCCCAGAUGGGAUUAGCUAGUAGGUGGGGUAACGGCUCACCUAGGCGACGAUCCCUAGCUGGUCUGAGAGGAUGACCAGCCACCCUGGACUGGUGACACGGCCCAGACUCCUACGUGAGGAAGCAGUGGGGAAUAUUGCACAAUGGGCGCAAGCCUGAGACAGCCAUGCCGCGUGUGUGAAGAAGGCCUUCGGGUUGUAAAGCACUUUCAGCGGGGAGGCGUUACCCGCAGAAGAAGCACCGGCUAACUCCGUGCCAGCAGCCGCGGUAAUUC